CUGUCCCACCUGCAACCCUCCCCAUCACUUGGCUUGACCCCAUCUCCCAGCAGCUCAAAGCCAAGUAGUUUUCUGGCUUCUGCUUUCUCCGCAUCCCACAUCCACCCUUUGGUACUUCUGCUCAGGUCUACCUUCAAAAUCUCCCCAAGGUGUCUGGCUCCUCACUUUCCGGAAGAUGGAGAUUCUUUCCUGCUACUCACCACUGUGGCCCCAGCACCUGGUGAAUGCGAGCUGUGGUCCACAGUUGAAGUUCAAAAUAUAUGGGUUGAAUGAUUGAAAGCAGUGGUUUCGAUACGGACAAAACCGGCAGGCCGCCCAGGUGGAAGAAGGAUUUCACAGACACACCUGAGCAGCCACUG
ensembl:lncRNA